rnacentral:rRNA from 1 species
GACAGAGGGUGCAAAUGUUGUUCGGAAUCACUGGGCGUAAAGGGAGCGUAGGCGGGUUCUUAAGUUAGGUGUUUAAUCCCGGGGCCCAACCCCGGACCGGCACUUAAAACUGGGAAUCUUGAAUAGUGGAGAGGUCAGUGGAAUUGGGGGUGUAGCGGUGGAAUGCGUAGAGAUCCCCAAGAACACCAGUUGCGAAGGCGGCUGACUGGACACAUAUUGACGCUGAGGCUCGAAAGCAUGGGGAGCAAACAGG